rnacentral:rRNA from 1 species
UCCUACGGGGGGCAGCAGUGGGGAAUAUUGCACAAUGGGGGAAACCCUGAUGCAGCGACGCCGCGUGAGUGAAGAAGUAUUUCGGUAUGUAAAGCUCUAUCAGCAGGGAAGAAAAUGACGGUACCUGACUAAGAAGCCCCAGCUAACUACGUGCCAGCAGCCGCGGUAAUACGUAGGGGGCAAGCGUUAUCCGGAUUUACUGGGUAUAAAGGGAGCGUAGACGGCGCGGCAAGUCUGAAGUGAAAGGCAGGGGCUUAACCCCUGAACUGCUUUGGAAACUGCCAUGCUAGAGGGCUGGAGAGGGA